UUUUAUUAGAAUAUAUUAAUAAUAAAAUCUGCUCAAUGAAAAUUUUCAAUAGCCGCAAUCGUGCUAAGGUAGCAUAAUCAUUUGUCUUUUAAUUAAAGACUAGAACAAAAGAUUUAACAUUUAAAUAAAUUUCUUUAUUUUAUAAAUUUAAAUUAUUUUAAAUGUAAAAAAACAUUUAUCAUUUAAAAAGACGAUAAGACCCUAUCGAACUUUACUUUAGUUAAACUGGGGAAGUUAAUUAAUUAUUAUUUUAUUAUUAAAUAAAUAAAUAAAUGACCUAAUUUAAUUAAUUAAAUGAUUAAGUUACCGUAGGGAUAACAGUGUAAUAUUAUUUUAAAGAUCAUAUUAAAAAUAAUGAUUGCAACCUCGAUGUUGACUUAAUAACCUUAAAUACGCAAUAGUUAUUAAAGGAAGUCUGUUCGACUUUUAAACAAUUACAUGA
rnacentral:rRNA from 1 species